AGUUCCAUCUUCGGCUAAGGUCUGCUCUGUUCCUGAGUGGGGGAAGCCGGUCAAAAUCCGGCGCUGUCCCGCAACCGUGGGUUGAGAACCUUUUCGAAGAUUCUCAACAAGUCGGAAUGCCUAUUCAGGGCUAUACAGCUUG
rnacentral:ncRNA from 2 species